rnacentral:rRNA from 1 species
AGUGAACGCUGGCGGUAGGCCUAACACAUGCAAGUCGAACGGCAGCACAGUAAGAGCUUGCUCUUACGGGUGGCGAGUGACGGACGGGUGAGGAAUACAUCGGAAUCUACUUUUUCGUGGGGGAUAACGUAGGGAAACUUACGCUAAUACCGCAUACGACCUACGGGUGAAAGCAGGGGAUCUUCGGACCUUGCGCGAUUGAAUGAGCCGAUGUCGGAUUAGCUAGUUGGCGGGGUAAAGGCCCACCAAGGCGACGAUCCGUAGCUGGUCUGAGAGGAUGAUCAGCCACACUGGAACUGAGAAACGGUCCAGACUCCUACGGGAGGCAGCAGUGGGGAAUAUUGGACAAUGGGCGCAAGCCUGAUCCAGCCAUACCGCGUGGGUGAAGAAGGCCUUCGGGUUGUAAAGCCCUUUUGUUGGGAAAGAAAAGCAGCAGGUUAAUACCCCGCUGUUCUGACGGUACCCAAAGAAUAAGCACCGGCUAACUUCGU